CCCAGCUAAAUAUCAGCAAGGACUGCUAAAC
rnacentral:piRNA from 1 species